rnacentral:rRNA from 1 species
UACGUAGGGGGCAAGCGUUAUCCGGAUUUACUGGGUGUAAAGGGAGCGUAGACGGCAGUGCAAGUCUGGAGUGAAAGGCGGGGGCUCAACCCCCGGACUGCUCUGGAAACUGUACGGCUGGAGUGCAGGAGAGGUAAGUGGGAUUCCUAGUGUAGCGGUGAAAUGCGUAGAUAUUAGGAGGAACACCAGUGGCGAAGGCGGCUUACUGGACUGUAACUGACGUUGAGGCUCGAAAGCGUGGGGAGCAAACAGG